rnacentral:tRNA from 1 species
GCCCCCGUAGCUCAGAGGCCUAGAGCGGCGGCCUUUUAAGCCGCGCGGCGCUGGUUCGAAUCCAGCCGGGGGCA